rnacentral:tRNA from 1 species
CGGGGUGUAGCUUAAUGGUAGAGUGCUUGCCUGGCUUAUGCAAGGCUCUGGGUUCUAUCCCUAGCAUCAUGC